UCUAUGACUGUCUGACUCUCUUUGGAUGUUUCGGGGUGCUACCAACUUGUAGAGUGUUAGUGCUCUGCUGCCUGUUCCAGGUGCAUUCUGGUUCUGUGUUACGUUUUUCAUAUCAACAGUAGUUUAACAAGCUAAUAGUAUACUUGAAUAGGAAAACUUCCAGAAUAGAGAAACCAUAUGUGUAAACAAAAGCUCUCCACCUCUGUAGCUACCAACAUAAUACCUGGUGAUGAUAAAGUCUACAGAUGAUCUCAUGUUAAGUUGCAAGCCUGUGUUAGCCUAGAUAGGUCAUGGGUAGGGCUUAGAAAUAUUACAGCUGACUUCAUCAGCUGCAACAUCAGUGGAACUGGUACUCGGUGAUCUUUAUUCACUGCUGCUUAGAUUUAACUCAGUGAACAAUGAACAUGGCCAUUCAUGUUCUCCACAGCGAAGACAGUUACUCAGAAUGAAGCUGAGAACCACUUGUAAGCAUCAGAUUACUGACCCUGUUUGCGUGAGCAUGGCAAUUGCUCACUGUCCUGUAUCCAAAAGAAGUCAUGUAUCUCUGACAAAGAGGGAGUCUUCAAACUCUAAAGCAGUUUAUCUGGAAUUUAUACUGGAAAUCCCAGCAACUCUUCUCUACAGUAAUGUGCUAGGGUUAUUUAAGGAAAGAAAAAAACAAUGCCUUUGUGGAUGCUAUUUCUGA
rnacentral:lncRNA from 1 species